rnacentral:rRNA from 1 species
UACGUAGGGUGCGAGCGUUGUCCGGAAUUAUUGGGCGUAAAGGGCUCGUAGGCGGUUUGUCGCGUCGGGAGUGAAAUCCACUGGCUUAACUGGUGGCUUGCUUUCGAUACGGGCAGACUGGAGGUAUGCAGGGGAGAACGGAAUUCCUGGUGUAGCGGUGAAAUGCGCAGAUAUCGGGAAGAACACCCGUGGCGAAGGCGGCACUCUGGGACGGUACUGACGCUGAGACGCGAAAGCGUGGGGAGCGAACAGG